rnacentral:sRNA from 1 species
AACCCUCCCCACUGGCCACAAUGUCGUCGCACCGACUCGCCACUGCCUCCGCCACUCGUAAUCUCCCCAGACCCGAAACCACAAUAUGUAAUAUUAGUUUCGUCCCAAGCGUCAUUCGAACCGACGACUUCUAAACUUCGCCUAGGAUUUUUAUCAAUUGAGCUAACAACACUUGGUCAUCUUUAUUAUUCUUUUGUUUAU